GGUCUAAUCUAGAUUUUCGA
rnacentral:siRNA from 1 species